rnacentral:pre_miRNA from 1 species
UGGUAACUUUUCCUAUCGGUAAGUUUCUGACAGCCUUGUCUAUCUGUAAUUUACCUAUGACUUUAAGUGUUGUCGGUAACUUUCACCGAUAAAGAGUUUACCG